rnacentral:lncRNA from 1 species
CAGGACCUGCAUCAUGCGCCUUUUGCAUAAGAAAUGAUUCAGGGGAUUUCAUGUUUGCUAGUGCUAAUAAGAUCCACAACUCAAUAAGUAUCUAUGCUGAACCUAAAGCAACUGAACAAGGCAUCGAUUUUUGUAUAGAACAUAAUUUACUGUCUUUAGUGGUGAAAACUGAUUCACUAGCUAUGAAAAGCUUCAUUGAAGAUGGAUGGAAGAUCCCAUGGAACAUUAGUAUGGAAGUUAGGAGGAUACAAGGAUGGAAGGAAAAGGAAGAGAUCAUUUUUCAACACAACAUGAGAGAAGGGAAUCAAGUGGCGGAUUUUCUAGCUAACUUUCUUUUCUUUUUUGUAGGAUCUUUAAGUUACAAUUAAUUAGCAAAAUUACCUACUGGAGGAAGGAAACUACUAAAUAUAGACAAACAAAUCAUUCCAAGGCUUCGUUUUCAGAAGGUCAAAAAUACUAGGCACAAAAUACAAUUUAAUCAAAGCAUGUAAGAAGGAAUAAACAGUCAGCAAUUUUAGCAAUUGGGCUACAACAGAAACAUUACAGUACUGCAAGGGCAACAGAAAUGGAACAAAGUAGAAUUAAAAUAGCUUGUUUGACUUAGCUUCUUAUUUUUCUGAAGUUAAACAGCGAUAUUAACCUCUUAAUGAAGUUCAACUUGCUUGAAAGAUGAAGGAAAAGCUUAGUAAAAUAGAGUGACAUGAAAAAUUCAUCGGAGAUAGUGAAGAGGGUACAGAUCUAAUUAAAAACCUUACCUUGAGUUUUGAAUUGACUCUAUAAAUCCACAUCUUGAAGAAAUCUUCAUUUGGAUUGGUUACCAUGACAUACGGUGAGAGCUUAUGGGAUGCAUUUAGAUGGAACCUACCCAGAAGAUAUGGAAAUUACUAGUCAAAUACAAAGCAAGGAAAUGGUUGCAAAUUUCAGUUACUUCACAUCUUCACAAAGCUAUUGGUUUACUGAAUCAGAGAUUUACCUGGAAGUGACGGUCGACGAUGGAGAUCGGCAUCUAUGGAAGCUUUAACUCAGCUGAACCAAUCUUUCCUUUUCUGUCCAUUAGGUUUCCUUUGACUUUACUUUACUUUUCUUUCUUUUUUUUGUCUUAGUUUUAGUUUAUUUGGAAUGGAUCGAGUCUACUUUGGACUUUGCAUUUUGCUUAAUUUUGUACAGAUCUAUUUUAAUUAAAUGAGGCUCACGGGUCUCACCAAAAAGUUGAAUAAAAG